UACAGAGGUCUCAAGCGUUGUUCGGAUUCAUUGGGCGUAAAGGGUGCGUAGGCGGCGCGGUAAGUCGGGUGUGAAAUCUCGGAGCUUAACUCCGAAACUGCAUUCGAUACUGCCGUGCUUGAGGACUGGAGAGGAGACUGGAAGUUUACGGUGUAGCGGUGAAAUGCGUAGAUAUCGUAAGGAAGACCAGUGGCGAAGGCGGGUCUCUGGACAGUUCCUGACGCUGAGGCACGAAGGUCAGGGGAGCAAACGGG
rnacentral:rRNA from 1 species